UUAAGGGCUCAGCUCCACAAGACUACCCCCUUCACAUGCCAGCAGCAAAUAUGGGGCCCAAGUUACCCACAUUUCUGCCCAGCUGACUACAAAUUCUGGUUUCCAUGACCCCCUCUCAGGUUUGAUAGUUUGCUAGAACAACUCACAAAGUGAAGGAAAAUGGUGUACUUACUAUUACUGGCUUAUUAUAAAGGCUACAACUCAGAAACAGCCAAACGGAGGAGAUGCACAGAGCAAGGUGACCAGUCCGCAUCCUGAUACUAUCUCGGAGUCCCCCAGCCAAGAAUCAUCUCAUCAGCAUAAACUCAGGCAAUGUUGAAAGGCAUUCAGAAUGGUACUGGCCAUGUAACAUCCUCAGGAAAAUGGAGAAAGGAGUCACAUCAUCUUCUGUGUUUGGAGACUGCUAUGUAAGCCAGAAUACUAGUCACACAGUGCAGGUGGGAGCGGCCGGGAAGUAACCUCCUUUUUUUUUAAGACUAAUACAUUUAUGGUAUACACCUGAAUUUGUGUUGCGGAAAUCUGAUACCCAUUGCACACAUUCUGUAUCAUGUUUAAAAUAAUUUCAACUUUUAUUUUAGAUUCAAGGGGUACACUUGCAGUUU
rnacentral:lncRNA from 1 species